rnacentral:lncRNA from 1 species
CUCAUGUCUAUCAAUAACCUCCUUGUGCAGAAAUCUACACUGCACAAGUUAGGAGUCUGCAAGGGCGGGCGGUGUUACAGUCUCGCUCUUUCCAUUUUCCCCUUUUACUCCACAUAGUUUCAAAGGUCCACAUGGCCCUGGUUUUGACCAGUUUUCCAACAGUUUCAACGUUAUGUAUUUCAACUUCCCGUCUCAGUUCACUGGCGUCUGCACCCGUUGCCGAGUGUGGGUGGCUGAGCCCUGGGUGACAGCACUCGGGACCACGCACCCAUACCCUUCUUUAUGCUCGUUGUCAGCCAGUUGCCAAGAGCGGGAGUGAAGAGCCUGCAAGGCCCGGGAGAGCGCGGAUUCCGGAGUAGGGAGGCGAGGGGGCAGCGUGGGAGACCAGAGGGAAAAUGGGCUGAAAAGCCAACAAAAAAAACAACGUAAAUUGGGCUUUGCUCUGGCUUUACAAAGGCAGAGAUUGUCGAGCCCUCUGACUGUCUUUGUGCCUUCUUUAUCCCGUCCUUUGUGAAAUAAGCCGUUUUCUGCCCCCAC